GACGAACGCUGGCGGCGUGCCUAAUACAUGCAAGUAGAACGCUUAAGGAGGAGCUUGCUUCUCUGGAUGAGUUGCGAACGGGUGAGUAACGCGUAGGUAACCUGCCUGGUAGCGGGGGAUAACUAUUGGAAACGAUAGCUAAUACCGCAUAAUAGUAGAUGUUGCAUGACAUUUGCUUAAAAGGUGCAAUUGCAUCACUACCAGAUGGACCUGCGUUGUAUUAGCUAGUUGGUGGGGUAACGGCUCACCAAGGCGACGAUACAUAGCCGACCUGAGAGGGUGAGCGGCCACACUGGGACGGAGACACGGCCCAGACGCCUAGGGGAGGCAGCAGGAGGGAAUCUUCGGCAAGGGACGGAAGUCUGAGCGAGAAACGCGGCGGGAGUGAAGAAGGUUUUCGGAUCGGAAAGCUCGGUUUUAAGAGAAGAACGAGUGUGAGAGUGGAAAGUUCACACUGUGACGGUAUCUGACCAGAAAGGGACGGCUAACUACGUG
rnacentral:rRNA from 1 species